rnacentral:tRNA from 1 species
CUCUGUAGUUCAGUCGGUAGAACGGCGGACUGUUAAUCCGUAUGUCACUGGUUCGAGUCCAGUCAGAGCUU